GUUGUGUGCGUAUCACGGCGUAACCAAGCAGAGCGCAGCUGUAGCUAAGCACGUGAAAGCAGCAUUCGUCUUCCGCUGUACACUAAUUUUGACCUUUCCAAAGGAAAACUGGCGGUGUCGUUUUGAGCAGAUGGUGAGCAGGAGUGUGGUGAAACAGCUGUGGGGUCGUUUUUGAAAAGUUGUGCCGGGCUCUUAGUGGGUUUGUGCUGUAGUCUAGUUCGUGAUAUCGCUGUUUCUCCUAGUUCAAAAGCUUGUUAAACGCUGACAGCCAGCAUGAUGUCGCACAAGACAUGAGAAAAGACAGCAGGAAAAUUCAGAAGGAACGUAACUAAGGACGUGUCCUCCACGGUAACCAGACAGCAGAUAAAAGUGGCAAAUUCCUGUGACUCGCAUCAGCUUGGUAUUCUCUGGUUAUUCAAGGACUAAGUUCUGUUUCACUGAGUCCAAUUGCAAAGUUUCCGUUUGCCCUCAGAUUCAGCGUCUUGGAUUCAUAAACGCAAUAUUCAUCGAAAGUGGGGGAGCCAGCUAACUUAUAUCAAGAAAAUUGACCCACGGCCUGCAAGCCUCAAGUUCCUGUUUACGUGGGCAAAGAGAAGCAAGCGCUGGCAGCGAAGCAGGGGGAAGCGCAGGGCCAGGGCAGCCUCCUCCCUCCGUACACCGUCGCACCUA
rnacentral:lncRNA from 1 species